AGAUAUCCUUUAAGUUUCAAAACGCUAGUCAUUUGUGUCCCGAAAUCAUUGUGCCGAUGAAUGAUAGUCAGAAAUUGCUUAUCUGACAACCGGAGCUCCAUGCUGGCUUAUCCACAUCAUUCUUAUUAUUAAAAUAAUGUAUAUUAAAAGGUAAAUAAAUGAAAAAGAAAAGCCACGAUUGAAAUUAGGACAAAAAAAAUUCCUAAAACUUCCAUCAUGCCAUCCGCAAACUCCCUAACGGCACCACCGCACCUGCACACCUGCAUCGCUCAACGUCGAGCUUGUCUCCCUCAAACUGCUCCCUAAAUCCAAGACUCGAGGAGGCAUUCAAAAUUAAUCAAAGUAUACAACUUGGUCCAGGUUCUGCAACUUCUCAAUCUCAGUCAAACCCACAACUACUCUUCUUUUGUCCACAAACACACACAUCUCUCUUCUUCAAUCAUCAACAUCAACCUGAAAAAUGGAAUAGCUGCAACUACCCGGAGAUCUAGACCAGACCCUUUUGUUAGGCCGAGAUUCAAGCGAAGGUUGUCAUCCUCCUCCUUCAGUGUUCUUAUUCUUCGAUCAUUGGUCUUUCUCAAGCAAAUGAACCUUGGGACUAGGCAUUCGAUGACAGAACUCCAACCCUGCCAUUCAGAAACUGCAGAUCUGAAAGACUCAGCCACAAUCCAUGGUUGUGGACAAGAACUGAUGGAGCUAUGGGGAAAGGAUUUUUUUUUUUGUGGACAAGAAUUUUUUAUUUUGUGAUUUUAUUGGAGAAAGGGAAGCUUCGCUGUGGGUUGAACAAGAAGAUCUUUUAUUUUUUUUGUAUUUUUUGAAACAAGAAAUCUUUUAUUUGUUAUUGAGCAAGAAGAUGAAUAAGAAUUGGUGGAGUAAUGAUCGGGAAAAAGGGAAGCUUCUGGACAGAGGUAGAGUGUUUUUUUUUUGUAAAUUGGGGUUUGACCUCUUGAUGAGUUGGGGUUUUUAAUGAUGUGGAUUUUUUUUUUCAAAAAUGACAUGUGUAUGCCAUGUUGGAUUUCAAUUGCCA